rnacentral:rRNA from 1 species
GACGAACGCUGGCGGCGUGCCUAACACAUGCAAGUCGAGCGGGGACAUUCAAGGAGUAAUCUGAGAGUGUUCUAGCGGCGGACGGGUGAGUAACGCGUGAGCAACCUGUCCUUAUCUGGGGGAUAAGAAGCCGAAAGGCUUUCUAAUACCGCAUGAGACCACAGAGCCACAUGGUUCAGGGGUCAAAGGAGCAAUCCGGGUAAGGGUGGGCUCGCGUCUGAUUAGCUAGUUGGUGGGUAACGGCUCACCAAGGCUUUGAUCAGUAGCCGACCUGAGAGGGUGAUCGGCCACAUUGGAACUGAGACACGGUCCAAACUCCUACGGGAGGCAGCAGGUGGGGAAUAGUUGGGCAAGUGGGCGAAAGCCUGACCCAGCAACGCCGCGUGAAGGAAGAAGGUUUCGGAUCGUAAACUUCUAUCCUAGGUGAAGAUAAUGACGGUAGCCUAGAAGGAACGCCCCGGACUAACUACGUGACCAGCAGACCGACGGUAAAAUAGACGUACU